UACGUAGGGUGCGAGCGUUAAUCGGAAUUACUGGGCGUAAAGGGCGCGCAGGCGGCUAUCCAAGUCAGGCGUGAAAGCCCCGGGCUUAACCUGGGAGGUGCGUCUGGGACUGGGUGGCUAGAGUUCGGGAGAGGAGAGUGGAAUUCCCAGUGUAGAGGUGAAAUUCGUAGAUAUUGGGAAGAACACCGGUGGCGAAGGCGGCUCUCUGGACCGAGACUGACGCUGAGGCGCGAAAGCGUGGGGAGCAAACAGG
rnacentral:rRNA from 1 species